AGAACGAACGCUGGCGGCAUGCCUAACACAUGCAAGUCGAACGCUCUUGGGGCUUCGGUCUCAGGGGAGUGGCGCACGGGUGAGUAGCGCGUGGGAACCUGCCCUGUUGUGGGGGAUAACCGAGGGAAACUUCGGCUAAUACCGCAUAAGCCGGUUGUCUUGAAGGAGAUGGCCGGGAAAGAUUUAUCGCGACAGGAGGGGCCCGCGUCGGAUUAGCUAGUUGGUGGGGUAACGGCCCACCAAGGCGGUGAUCCGUAGCUGGUCUGAGAGGAUGAUCAGCCACACUGGGACUGAGACACGGCCCAGACUCCUACGGGAGGCAGCAGUGGGGAAUAUUGGACAAUGGGCGCAAGCCUGAUCCAGCAAUGCCGCGUGAGUGAUGAAGGCCUUAGGGUUGUAAAGCCCUUUCGGCGGGGAAGAUAAUGACGGUACCGCAGAAGAAGCCCGGCUAACUUCGUGCCAGCAGCCGC
rnacentral:rRNA from 1 species